rnacentral:snRNA from 1 species
AUCCUUUCGCAGAGGAAAUAUCGUAGCCUAUGAGGUCCAUCUGAGGCAUGAUGAUUGCUGGUUGAAAACUUAACCCAAUACCCCGCCGGGAUGACUUAAAAUAUAGUCAGCCCUGGCAAUUUCUUUAAUAGUUUGGUAAGAGACU